rnacentral:tRNA from 1 species
GGUCAGGUGGCUCAGUUGGUUAGAGCACCAUCCCCUGUACACCAAGGUUGUGGGUUUGAUCCCUCCCUGGUCA